GGUUCAAACUACCUGCAAUCUUGUAUAACUCCCCAUUAAACAUGGCGAGAGGGUUACAAGAUGAUGUGCAAGAUAAUGAGACCAACCAAAAUCUGAAUGAUGGUGUCAUAAUACUCAAUGAUAUGGACGACAUAUCUAAUUUACUGUCGGGUACAAUAACAUGGACAAACAAGUAUCCAUAUGAUCGCAGAUGCUGAAGCUUCGGAGUAAGUCAUUCUAAAUAGAAUUGUUUUGUUCUAAUUUAUUUUUUUCCAAUAUUCGUGAUUGAAUUGCUACAAUAAGUAAAUUAUUCCUUGUCAUUGUUUUUUAGCAAAGAAUGGGUCCGAAGCACACAACCCACAACCAUACACAAUUUCUUUAAGUCCUAGAAAAAUUAGAGAUAUUUUAAAUGACAAUAAAGAGUUCGAUCAUGCAUGAUUGUUUCAACAUGGCUGUAAGGAUGGCUGCAUCAAACGCAUCCUUGUUGUUGGAGAAACAAAUACCACUUCAUGGAUCUUCAGUUUGUUGUAAGUUCACCUAAGUCUUAAUUGUAUAAUUCAUAAAUAUCUACUAUAAUAUAUAUAAUUGUAUAAUUAAUAAAAAAAUUAUAAAUUUUACAAACUAGAAAGUCCAUAACUCAAUUUGGACGAGAUCUGUGAUGUUGUGACAAGCUAGACAACAAGAAACUCACAAAAGUACUUCAGUGCUGGCCUAAUAUGGAUUACAAAAUUAAAAGAUUGUAGCAAUGUAAGAUAUGUUCAGUGUAGUCCUGUAAGUGCAUUCGACCCCGAUGUAGGUUUUGAUAAUUAAUGACAACCAAAUUAGGGACUAACAUGUUUAUCGAGCAUAAUCUACAGGUGUUAGUCCAUUGAUGGAAUUGAACGAAAACAUUCGGUGAAUUAUAGCACCCCUAAAUUUCUAAUGGAUGAACGGUGUUUCGACUCAAGUGGCUACAAAGUUUUUAUUCUUUGUUUGAGUUAUAGGAAAUGCCGCACUAUCAAGAGGGAUGCAAAUCAAGUUGGUAAGAUGAGGAUAAGGGUGCUCAGGUCAAUUUACUUCUUGCGCUUGAGAGACACACUUGCACGCACGAAGCACUAGGAAAUUUCUUCUCUGUCAGGGUGUCCCGGUAGUACCAACCCUCAGGGCCGGUGGUACCGGCAGUGCCAGCCUUACUCCUGAGUUUUGCGAGAAAAUGAACUACCGGUAGUACCGGGCUCGGGCCGGUGGUACCGGCCAGCACCAGUAGUACCGGUGUGAAACGCCGGUAGUACCGGCAGGCCAAAUCUGCGCUGACUUUGGUUGCGAAGAUUUGAACUGCCGGUGGUACCGGCCUUCCACCGGUGGUACCGGCAAUGGUCGGUAGUACCGACAAAAGCCCAGUGGUACCGGUAGGCUUAUUUCUCGCAAAUCAUAGAGACUUCUUACCGUUAGAUCUGAGGUAGCCGGUGGUACCGGUGGUUGCCCCGGUAGUACCGGGAGUUGUUCAGGACCUUUGUAUAAAUAGCUCUUCCCUCAUUUCUAACCGUUAGCUCUCCCAUUCCUUCAACUCUAGAUCUGAGAAAUCAGUCUCCAAGCUUUGUCUCACCCACUCUCUCUCCCUCUUUGCUCCUAGACUUCACUCCUUGAAAGAUUCGAGCUAGAGAAGUGAGAUUAGAGAGUUGGGAGCUUCGAUUUGUGACUUGAGCACUUGGAUUCUUCGUCUUGCCGGUUUGGUUUGCAUUUGUUACUCUUGGAUUCUUGGAACCCUAGCCGGCUAGGCGUUCUUCGUGGUUGCCCGUGUUGAUUCAUUUGUGAGGGCACCCCGAAGUGUUUGUAUAACCCUUUGAUUCUUAGUGGAAAUCUUGAGCUAACCUGUGUGGUUGCUUGAGGGAGGAGACCUAAGUGGUCGGACCUUCGUGGUCACCUCAACAACGGGGACGUAGGAACUCCUUUGUGGGGAUUGCCGAACCUCGGGAAAAAUAUCUUGUCUUGCUGUGGAGGUAGCAUCGACUACCCUUGUUCUUGUGUUCUUCGUGUUCUUCCUCUCUACUCCCUUUCACAGGUGAACAAGGGCCGAUCUACGUUUUGGAGAAGAACCGAGCCAAGGGAACCUCAGCAUCACCCUCUACUACAUCUAGGAGAGUGGGGUAACUCUCAGAUCUGAAAUCAAAACUCAAUAUACUCUGAUUUCGUAGCUCUCUUAGGGCGUCGGUAGUACCAGCAGUUACGUCGGUAGUACUGGCUGUCUUACACCAGUAGUACCGGCCCAAACUGUCGGUAGUACCGACAGGCAUUUAACUUCCGCAACUUGAGUUUUUAAGUUUCAGGUUUUUAAGAUACGCCUAUUCACCCCCCCUCUAGGCCAAUCAGAUCCUUUCAAUUGGUAUCAGAGCAAGGUUCCUCGUACAAACGCUUCACCGCGUGAGGAGCAACAUUGGCCAAGAUAGAUCCAAUAGCACAAAAGCAAAUUGUUGAUCAAAUCACAGCACAGAUCACUGCAUCCUUGCAGCUGCAGCAACAAGAGCAAAUGCAGAAGAUGCAAGCAGAGCUUGACAAGAUGAGAGAGCUCCUAGGCAAAAAGAAUCAUGAAUCGGGUAGAAAAGAUGAAAAUGAAGAUAGCAGCAAACCAUCAAAGAACUACAACAAAGCUAGCUUUGACUAUGAUGGUUCAAGCAAGAAUCCAACCUUGCCGAUGAUCAAUCCUGGAAAACCACCUCCAUUUGAUGGUGUAAGGUACACCGAUUGGGCUCAUAGGAUGAAGCUACAUCUCAUAGCCGCAAGAUGUUGGGAAGUGGUGGACAUUGGAGUAAAUCCGCCGCAAGAUCCAAAUGAGUGGACACUUGAAGAUGAGAGAGACUUUCACCUAAAUGCAAUGGCAGCAACCUUGAUCUUGCAAUGCCUCACUCCGGAGGACAACAACAAAGUAAAUGGUAUGGUGAAUGCAAAGCAAAUCUGGGACACUUUGAAGGUGUCAUUUGAAGGAGAUAAAAGUGUAAGAGUUGGAAACAUUGAACUCUUACAAAGUAAGAUUGAGAAUUUUUGCAUGAUUGAGGGAGAAACAACAAAGGCCAUGUUUGAUAGAUUCAUGUCCUUGAUCAACCAAAUUAGAGCACUUGGAGCAACAACAUGGGAUGACAACUCUGUAGCAAGAAAGAUAUGUAGGGUGUAUAGACAAAAGAACAAUAUGCUUGCCUCCGUCAUUAUGGAGAAAGACAAUUACCACACGAUCACACCUCAAGAGAUGCUUGCAAAGUUGAUGCAUCAUGAAGUCUUGGAUGAUGAAGCUAAGGAAGCAAUGAAUCAAAGAAACAACAUUGCACUCACAGCAUCACAUGGAAGUGAUUCAAGUCAUUGUAACAAAGGGUGUUGUGAGCAUAAGCAUAAUGAUGAUGAUGAUCUUGAUAAAGAGCAAGGUAUGCUAGUGGAAAACUACAAGAAUUACUUGAGAAUGAAGAAAGAUAAUAUGAGGAGAUAUGGAGGAAACAAGUCAUACAAGAAGAGGUUUUGCUAUGAGUGUGGUGACACCGGCCAUCUUGCAGCUGAGUGUCCUAACAAAGAGGAGAAGUCAAGAUACACCAAGCAAGGUGAUAAGAAGUAUAAGGACAAGAAGAGAGGUGAAGCACAUCUAGGCCAAGAAUGGCAAUCCGACAGUGAUAGUGAUGAUGACAAUAACAAUAAGAAGAAGAGUAUGGCUACUCUCGCCAUACAAGAGGCAUCUUCCUCAGCAAACAUCUUCACCAACAAUGCUUCAUCGACCUCUCUCUUUACUCGCACUUCUUCAUCACCUAGACUCUUCGCCAACCUCUCCGACGACGACCAUGACACUCCUACAUGCCUUAUGGUAAGAGGAUAUAAGGUACAAUUUGACUCUCCUAUUCACACCACUAGUGAAUAUGAUAGUGAUGACGAAGAUGAUGAAAACUAUGCAUCAAAUCUCAUUAAGAAAUAUGGUAAAGCUGCUGCAACUAAAAUCCUAAAGCUCAUAUAUGCUAAAGAUAAGCUUGAGUCAUGCAUUGAGUCGCAAGGGGAAUUGCUCCUAGAGGAAAGGGAGAAGAACCAAGGACUUGAAGCAUGUCUCUCCAAGGAAAAGGAGAGGGCUGAUAAGUUGAGUGUAGAAUUGUCUUUAGCCAAAAAUGCUAAUGAGCAUUUGUCUAAGGGACAUUCUUCACUUAAUGACUCUUUGGCUAGCCUAAAGAAUGAUCAUAGUUUGGCUCAAGAGAGCCUUACAAGCUUGACAACUAAAUAUCAUGAGCUUGAACUAAACUAUGACAAGCUUUGGACUAGCACCUCUACCAUUUCCAAGGAUUCCAAAGCUUCAACAAGUAAAAGCUGUGAAAGAUGCUUAAAUGUUGAUAUAAAUGCUUGUGUUACUAACCUUGUUGAGCUAGCAAAGAAGGACAAGGAGAUCCAAAGAUUAAACACAAUUGUCAAGAUUGGUUGCAAGUGCAAGGACAAGCAACCGGCAAAUGGGUUCAAGGCAUCAAGACACCCCAUAAUCAAGGAUGGCCUCGGUUACAAUAGGUAUAAUGGUAAGGCCAAUGGAAGAAACAUGAUAAAUGGGGUGGCUUGUGUGAAGUUCAACAAGAGUGUGCCUCUUGUUGACCUUAUUGACAAGGUGAACAAUAUUGCUACUCCUAUAAUUCCACUUACAAACAACAAGAACAUCAAGAAGAAGCAAGUGCAGGUGCCCAAGCAACAAGUGCCUAUUUCACGCAAUCACAUUUGUGAUUACAUGUGUUGUUGGGACAAGGAUGGCAAGAUUGUUGUGAAGUAUGUGGGUGUCCUUAAGAAGAGACAAAUCUUAAGGAGUGUUUGGGUGCCCAAGUCUUAUAUUUCUAACCCCCUAGGUCCCAUCUCGGGACCUAAAACAAUAGCUUAAUCUCGUGUUGUAGGAAUACUCCUCCGGUGGACCAAAAUGGGUGCUUGAUAAUGGAUGCACCAAUCAUAUGACCGGAGAGAAGAAAUUGUUCACCUCCUUUCAACCAAAUCAAGUUGCAUGUGAAAGGAUUGUCUUUGGUGAUAAUAGUAAAGGAGAUAUCCUUGGUUUGGGUAAAAUUGCUUUCUUAAAUGAUAAUUCAAUUUCAAGUGUAUUACUUGUGAAUUCGUUGGGAUACAAUUUGUUGUCUAUCUCACAACUUUGUGAGAAGGGUUACAAUUGUCUCUUUACGGAUAAGGGUGUAGAAGUCUCUAGAAGGUCGGAUGCCUCUAUUGCUUUUACGGGUCAACUUAAGGGCAAGCUCUAUCUAGUUGAUUUCUCAUCUAGUAGAGUGGGGUCCAAGACUUGUUUAGUGGCAAAAUCUAGCAUGGGCUGGUUAUGGCAUCGCUGUCUAGCUCAUGUUGGGAUGAGGAACUUGGCCGAUCUUCAAAGAGGUGGAUACAUCCUAGGACUAACAAAUGUUUCUUUUGAGAAAGAUAGAAUUUGCAGUGCAUGUCAAGCGGGAAAGCAAGUUAGAGACAAGCAUCCCACUAAGAACAUCAUGACUACAUCAAAGACCACUUGAGUUACUUCACAUGGACUUAUUCGGACCCAAUGCUCAUAUAAGUAUUGGAGGUAACAAAUAUGGUUUUGUAAUUGUUGAUGAUUUUUCUCGCUUCACUUGGGUGUUUCUUUUGAGAGAUAAAGGUGAAACCCAAGGGAUCUUCAAGAAGGUUUCAAGAAGAGCUCAAAAUAAGUUUGAAGUGAAGAUCAAGAAAGUGAGAAGUGAUAACGGGAUAGAGUUUAGAAACACCAACAUUGAAGCUUUCCUUGAUGAAGAAGGCAUCAAACAUGAGUUCUCGGUUCCAUACACUCCACAACAAAAUGGUGUUGUGGAGAGGAAGAACCGGACGCUCAUUGAAGCCAUAAUAGCAAUGUUGGAUGAAUACAAGAUUUCACAAAAAGACUAUUGGGCGAAAGCCAUCAACACGUCAUGUCAUGCUAUCAACCACUUGUAACUCCACAAGUUGAGGAAGAAAACCACCUACGAGCUUCUAACCGGUACAAAGCCUAAGGUGGACUACUUUAGAGUUUUUGGAUGCAAGUGUUUCAUACUCAAUAAGAAAUCCAAAAGCUCUAAGUUUUCACCAAAGGUUGAUGGAGGUUUCUUAAUUGGUUAUGGUACUAAUGAACAUGGCUACCGUGUCUUCAAUGAGACCACCGGUCAAAUUGAAAUAGCGGUAGACGUGACUUUUGAUGAAAGCGACGGCUCUCAAAAGGAGCAAGUCAAUGCUGAAAUUUUAGGUGAAGAAGAACCAUCUCAUCAAGUGAUCAAAAAGCUUGCUACCGGUGAAGUGAAACCCGUUGAAGAAUAAAAAGAUGAUGCACAUAUGCAAAUUCCUCAUGAUCCAAACUUGCAUCAUGGGUCAACCAAUGCCCAUGAUGAUACUUCCACUUCAAGAAGGGGUCAUGACUCAAGGGAACAAGCUAGUCAAGAUCCACCACAAGCUCAAGACCCAACCAAGGUGGUGAUCGAGACAGUCAAGAUCUUGAUUCUCCAAUCAACCAAGACUAUGAAGUUGAAGAUGAUGGUCUAAUUCAAACAAGAACAGCAGUGCCUCACCCAAGAGUUCAUCACUCCAUCCAAUGGGAUCAUCUCGUUGACAGCAUUUUGGGAGACACACAACGAGGGGUAACAACACACUCUCAUUUAGUUGGUUUUUGUGAAUAUUACUCUUUUGUCUCCUCGAUGUUGCCAAACAGGGUGAAGAAUGCUUUGAAGGACCCAGAUGGGGUGAUUGCCAUGCAAGAGGAGCUAAACAACUUCACUAAGAAUAAAGUCUAGUCCUUGGUGGAAAGACCCAAGCAAAAUGUGUUAGGUACCAAAUGGGUCUUCCGUAACAAAGAAGAUGAGUAUGGCAUGGUCACAAGGAACAAGGCAUGGUUGGUAGCCAAAGGUUUCACUCAAAUCAAAGGUUUAUAUUUUGGGGAGACCUAUGCACCUGCAGCUAGGCUUAAAUCUAUUCGCAUAUUACUUGCCUUUGCUGCUCUUCAUGAUUUCAAGUUGUUUCAAAUGGACGUGAAAAGUGCAUUCCUCAAUGGCCCCCUCUCCGAAACCGUGUAUGUGGAGCAACCGCCGGGUUUUGAAGAUCCACAUCAUCCCGAUCAUGUCUACAAGCUUUACAAGGCACUUUAUGGGCUCAAACAAGCCCCUAGAGCUUGGUAUGGUUGUAUCAAAGAUUUCCUACUCAAACAAGGGUUGAGAUUGGAAAGGCCGAUCUCACUUUAUUUACUCGCAAAGUCAAUAAUGAUAUUUUUAUAUGCCAAAUAUAUGUCGAUGAUAUUAUAUUUGGUAGUACUAAUGCGGACUUUAGUGAGCAAUUUAGUAGGAUCAUGACCAAGAGGUUCGAGAUGUCCAUGAUGGGGGAGUUGACAUACAUUCUUGGAUUCCAAAUCAAGCAACUCAAAGACGGCAUGUUCAUAAGUCAAACCAAGUACACCACCGACAUGCUAAAGAAGUUUGACAUCGACAAGGCCAAACCCAUAAAGACACCAAUGCCAACAACCGGACAUCUUAACCUUGAUGGAGACGACAAGGCCAUUGAUCAAAAGGUAUAUCAUUCCAUGAUUGAAUCUUUGCUUUACCUUUGUGCAUCUAGGGCUGAUAUUAUGCUUAGUGUGUGCAUGUGUGUAUUCGAAUAGGCAAAAACUCUUGUGAAAAAUUGUGUGAAUUUUUCAAAAACUAUUUUUCACAGCUCAAAAUGUGUCCAUAGUUAUGUAAUGGCUUCAUGAAAACUGGACAAAUUUGAGUUGGUUUGAGUAUACUAUGUGGUUCACCUCCUUUAGAAUUUCUGCUCACUGGUUUUUGACCUCCUGCAACUUAUGACAUUCAAGCAUAACUGGAACACAGAGGUUAUUUGUCAGUUUUGGGCCACAGUUUACAUUGAUGUAGAGCACAAGAUACUUCACUAGAUGACUGAGGACCUUCACUGUCAGUAUGAUUACCGCCAGUUCUCCCACCUUUUUGGGUUUGAUCACCAUGUCUGUGAUGCUCCUAGCUUAUAUGGUCAUUGUCCAAAUGGUGUGGGCAGGGCUGAUUUCAUUGAAGCAGCCUGAUGAUGAUCCGACUAAGGCAAAUGGUAAGACAGAAGGUCUAAAGCCCUAUUUCUAUGUGCUCAACAAUUUGCUCCGUGCUACUAUUGACCCAAAGGUUGGUGUUGCUACUUCAGUUCAGAAUCAUGAUGCAACCAUCCUUGUUUGCUUUGGGCUUAAGAAGAGGUUCAGUGUGACAGAUCUCCUGUGGCAUCACAUUGAGGAGGGUUCCUAGACCUCCAACCAGUCCUUCCCCUAUGCUCUGUAUCUCAUGUAUAUCAUUGAGCAAGUCAUUGGCUUUGCAUUCUAGCAAGACAGUAAGCACCUAGACUGGAAUGUCAGAUGUAUUUAGGCUAAGUCCAAGCAAAGGGAAAGGGCUAGCAACAGAUGCUAGUGGCAACAAUGCAGCACAGGAUGAUGAGGUGUAGUGUGACACUGAGUUUGAGCAGCAGCAGGGUUUUCAGUGAACCAGUGCCUUUGAUGAUGAUGAUGAUAUUGUUGAGUAGUUCACCUACUGCCUUUGCCCCUUGGAGCUUCAUGAAGCCUACCCUUUUUGGCAUUUGAUGCCAAAGGGGGAGUGUUAGGCUUAUCUCAUAUGGUAUUAGGCUUGGUAUCAGGAUUAUCUCGUAUGGUGAACCAUGUGGUAAACUUAAACUUUGUGUGUGAUGGUUGAUUGUAAGCUAAACACCUUUGCUUCAUUAUUAUAUCAAGCUUGUGUUAGCUGUUUUGGGAUUGUGUUGAUGCAAUGUUGUUUAUGAAUGGUUAUGAUAAGCUUUAAGUCCUUCUAUUUCUUGCAUAACCAUUCAAGUUCUUUCUUUUUAUUCUUUGUGAUAUAUCUUGUCAUAUGCAUCACACUUUAUUAUCUCACACACACUUAGGCACCCCACGGAUUGCAAAAUUUAGGGGGAGCUUGUUCUUAAUGUAUGCCAUCUUGAUUCUAAUCAAGAUCUGAAAUUCUGAAUUCAAUGCAUACAUUAAGGGGGAGCUCAACUUGAAUUUUGGAAUUCAAAAGCUUCAAUUCUUUCAAUCUUUAUAAGCCUAAGUUGGUUGUCAUCAAUUACCAAAAAGGGGGAGUUUGUAAGUGCAUUCGCCCCCGAUGUGGGUUUUGAUAAUUAAUGACAACCAAAUUCGGGACUAACAUGUUUAUCGAGCAUAAUCUACAGGUGUUAGUCCAUUGAUGGAAUUGAACGAAAACAUUCGGUGAAUUAUAGCAGCCCUAAAUUUCUAAUGGAUGAACGGUGUUUCGACUCAAGUGGCUACAAAGUUUUUAUUCUUUGUUUGAGUUAUAGGAAAUGCCGCACUAUCAAGAGGGAUGCAAAUCAAGUUGGUAAGAUGAGGAUAAGGGUGCUCAGGUCAAUUUACUUCUUGCGCUUGAGAGACACACUUGCACGCACGAAGCACUAGGAAAUUUCUUCUCUGCUAGGGUGUCCCGGUAGUACCAACCCUCAGGGCCGGUGGUACCGGCAGUGCUAGCCUUACUCCUGAGUUUUGCGAGAAAAUGAACUACCGGUAGUACCGGACUCGGGCCGGUGGUACCGGCCAGCACCAGUAGUACCGGUGUGAAACGCCGGUAGUACCGGCAGGCCAAAUCUGCGCUGACUUUGGUUGCGGAGAUUUGAACUGCCGGUGGUACCGGCCUUCCACCGGUGGUACCGGCAAUGGUCGGUAGUACCGACAAAAGCCCAGUGGUACCGGUAGGCUUAUUUCUCGCAAAUCAUAGAGACUUCUUACCGUUAGAUCUGAGGUAGCCGGUGGUACCGGUGGUUGCCCCGGUAGUACCGGGAGUUGUUCAGGACCUUUGUAUAAAUAGCUCUUCCCUCAUUUCUAACCGUUAGCUCUCCCAUUCCUUCAACUCUAGAUCUGAGAAAUCAGUCUCCAAGCUUUGUCUCACCCACUCUCUCUCCCUCUUUGCUCCUAGACUUCACUCCUUGAAAGAUUCGAGCUAGAGAAGUGAGAUUAGAGAGUUGGGAGCUUCGAUUUGUGACUUGAGCACUUGGAUUCUUCGUCUUGCCGGUUUGGUUUGCAUUUGUUACUCUUGGGUUCUUGGAACCCUAGCCGGCUAGGCGUUCUUCGUGGUUGCCCGUGUUGAUUCAUUUGUGAGGGCACCCCGAAGUGUUUGUAUAACCCUUUGAUUCUUAGUGGAAAUCUUGAGCUAACCUGUGUGGUUGCUUGAGGGAGGAGACCUAAGUGGUCGGACCUUCGUGGUCACCUCAACAACGGGGACGUAGGAACUCCUUUGUGGGGAUUGCCGAACCUCGGGAAAAAUAUCUUGUCUUGCUGUGGAGGUAGCAUCGACUACCCUUGUUCUUGUGUUCUUCGUGUUCUUCCUCUCUACUCCCUUUCACAGGUGAACAAGGGCCGAUCUACGUUUUGGAGAAGAACCGAGCCAAGGGAACCUCAGCAUCACCCUCUACUACAUCUAGGAGAGUGGGGUAACUCUCAGAUCUGAAAUCAAAACUCAAUAUACUCUAAUUUCGUAGCUCUCUUAGGGCGUCUGUAGUACCAGCAGUUACGUCGGUAGUACUGGCUGUCUUACACCAGUAGUACCGGCCCAAACUGUCGGUAGUACCGACAGGCAUUUAACUUCCGCAACUUGAGUUUUUAAGUUUCAAGUUUUUAAGAUACGCCUAUUCACCCCCCCUAGGCCAAUUAGAUCCUUUCAAGUCCUUUAUAAACUCAUUAUGUUUUAUUUAUCACUUAUUGUUUGUAUGUAUAUUUUUAGAUUCUACUACCAUAUUACUGAGAUGGACUAUAUACUUUAUUCAUAAUGAACAUGCACAAAAAACUGUGCACGUUAUAGAUCCACUUCAAAAUGAAGUAUGUUUGAAGGGUUAUGAUCAGAGCAUGUCAUAUAUAUCUACAUUUCACACUGUUGCUCAAAGAUUCCAUCUCGCCAUGAAACUAACAAAUUCUAAGUGGAACGACAAUAUUUAUGACUGGAAGCGAGCAUUUCCUACAUGUGUUACAAAAGUUUCAAAAAAUAAAGACUGCUAAUCUCUUACAAUAUGUUUCAUCUUUAUUACCAGACAUUUAAUUUAUAUAUAAUAAAAAAACUAAUACUCUUCUCCAGGAGAUUGGGAGGCUUCCUUGUGUAUAAUUUUAUGAAGUCAUGGGAUGAUGUAAGAUUGCCACCGAUCAACAAUGUAAGUAUAUAUAUACUUCAACUAUAGUUCGUACAUUGUAUGUGUGGGGGUAUAAACCCCUAUACCCUCAUGGGCCUAUAUGGGCCGCACCAUCAGAGGUGGCUCGGCCCACAGGAUGAAGACGUGCGGCGCACGACUGGUCGGCGUGCACCGCAAGGCUACAAGAUAUUGUACCAAAUAGGAUACUUUGCUUGUAACUCUGUCCCUUCAGGAUAUAUAAGGAGGGGCAGAGGUCCCCUAGAGGACAAGUCAUACAGAUCAUAUUCUCUCAACACAAAUCAAUACAACCAGACGCAGGACGUAGGUAUUACGCCAACUCGGCGGCCGAACCUGGAUAAAAAGCUUGUCCGUGUCUUGCGUCACCAUCGAGUUCGUAGUUUGCGCACCGUCUACCGAUAAACUACUACCGUGGGUAUACCCCAAGGUAGACUGCCGACCAGCUUUCGUCGACAGUGGCGCGCCAGGUAGGGGGUGUGCGUACAGCUCUCCCGACGAACAAGAUGGUCAUCAUCCCAACUUCGUGGCCAUGGCGGGCGACUUCAUGUUCACCGUCAGCUUCAACAGCUUCACCGCCACGACCACGGAGGAGCUGUAGAUCCGAUCUGCGCCAACCACUUCUUCAUCGACGUCGGCGGCGGCUUCAACCACGCUGGCUACGACUCCGACUACUCCAGCAACGUCUCCGACCACGCCGACGAUGCGUCACCUGCUUCCCUACUACAAAGAGAGGCAGAUCGACGACAUCGACCUGCUCGGGCUAACGACCAAGUUGUUUGGCCUACUUGCUCUGACCACCAGUCGCAAUAAUAAUCGCCGCGAAGAACGGCGCUACGACAACCGCGACCACCGUCAUGACAGCAAGUCAAAAAGCUCGAGGGCCAGACAAUUCUGUCACCACCGACUAGACUUUCGUCCAAAGAUAAGUACACUUCUAAUAUUUUAUUUAUUUUUGGCAUAAUAUUUUUUAUUAUCCUUCAAAAAUAACUUUUUGGUUAGCCGACUAGUUUUUUCUCCUACACGAGUUUUCUAGAGCCGGUACUGUCUCCGACUCCUCCCUACACGUGCAUGAGAUCCGCCCUCUGCGUUCCGGGUGGUCGGCAGUAGCUCUCUGGCGAGGCUGGCAAUCCCACGCAUGUCUAGGUUCCGCACCUCAUGCUGAUUGUUGGCUAGACCAGAGCUGGUACAAGCUCUAGGAUGAAUUAACUACUCGUGCUAAUUUUAUAACAAAAAAUCUAAAACUUAUCGCAGUACUGAUUUUUUAUCUAGAGUUUAUUUAUACAUCAUGUACUACCUAUUCUCUAUAUUUAUUUUUCAGGAGUUUAGUCCAGUCGACAAGCUACGCUCGGGGACUCGUCGACUAUUCCUUACGCUGUGCCCGGGGACCGCUCCGACCACCGAGCACGUUUACGUUCCCAACCACGCUCGGGGACUUGUCGACUACUCUCUACACUGUGCUUGAAGACUGUGCCGACCACCGAGCACGUUUACGUUCCCAACCACGCUCGGGGACUUGUCUACCAGUCUCUACGCCGUGCUUGAAGACUGUGCCGACCACCGAGCACGUUUACGUUCCCAACCACGCUCGGGGACUUGUCUACCAGUCUCUACGCCGUGCUCGGAGACUGUGCCGACCACCGAGCACGUUUACGUUCCCAACUACGCUCGGGGACUGGCCGAUCAGUCUCUAUGUCGUGCUCGGGGACUGUGCUGACUACCGAUCGUGCUCGGAGACUCAUCAAUCACUCCCUGCGCUGUGCUCGGGGCUUGCUUUGAUCACUCUCCAACCACAGCUUGAGGACUGUUCUUCUCAGUUACAUAUGAAUUGGACUCAUAUACAACUGAAGGGUAAUUUUAUUUUUUAGACCUUGCUACAAGGCUCAUACUUCGCCUUCCAGCAAGCUCGAGGACUACAUCGGUACGAUGCAUCUGGCGAUGCAUCUCAGUUUCAUAAUUUAUAUGAAGACUUUUUUGACCCUGGCACCACGUGCCUACGUCACCUACUACCAGGCUCGGGGACUAAGUGGGCACACUUCACCUUGCGGUGAAUAUGCUUGCUUUUUUGAGAUCUAUACUUUUCAAAAAAGUAAAGUUGACACACUUCACCAGGAAAGAAAUCUUUUUAAAUUUAGAGCACCAUGCAUUCUUCGAACAACCUGUUUCUUCGAUGUCAAUGUUGAUCAACUGUCUUUUGAGUUGGUCAAAAUACUGUUGCAACUGUUUGGGCGACUUUCUUACUUAUUUGAAGACGUCAAGCCUCACUGAUCGAAGAAGCUCAAGACGGCGUGUUACAUCACAAUACAUGGUGCUCGGGGACUAGCUGUGGGGGUAUAAACCCCUAUACCCUCAUGGGCCUAUAUGGGCCGCACCAUCAGAGGUGGCUCGGCCCACAGGAUGAAGACGUGCGGCGCACGACUGGUCGGCGUGCACCGCAAGGCUACAAGAUAUUGUACCAAAUAGGAUACUUUGCUUGUAACUCUGUCCCUUCAGGAUAUAUAAGGAGGGGCAGAGGUCCCCUAGAGGACAAGUCAUACAGAUCAUAUUCUCUCAACACAAAUCAAUACAACCAGACGCAGGACGUAGGUAUUACGCCAACUCGGCGGCCGAACCUGGAUAAAAAGCUUGUCCGUGUCUUGCGUCACCAUCGAGUUCGUAGUUUGCGCACCGUCUACCGAUAAACUACUACCGUGGGUAUACCCUAAGGUAGACUGCCGACCAGCUUUCGUCGACAGUAUGAUUGGCACAGAUCGCUUACUAUUUGCCAUGCAUAAGCCUGGGCAUUCGGGUUACCCGAUUUUUUCGGGUCGGGUAAUUCGGGUAAUUCAAAAUUCGGGUAAUGAAAAUUGUUACCCGAUAUUAGUUUCGAAAAAACACUACCCGCAAUUUCGGGUACCCGCUAAUUCGGGUUCGGGUAUUCCCGAUUUACCCGAAUUUUCAAAAAACAACACACUAUACAAAAUUUUAAUAGCAAUUUAUAUAUAAUUUCAGCAGCAAUUUGUAUAGAAUUUCAAUAGCAUUUUGUAGAGAAUAAUAUGUUACUAUCACUUGUUCAAACAAAGAGAAUUAUGUUCUAAUAAAUUGAUAAGUUCUAAUAUUUAACUAUCAACACAUGAUAAAUACAAAGAUAUAGACAAAUAUUCGGAUAAUUCGGGUAGUUCGGGUACCGGGGGAUAUUACCCGAAUUACCCAAACUAAUUUCGGGUAAUCAAAAUCGCUAUCCGAAUUUAGGAUCGGGUACCUCGGGUUCGGGUAAUUCGGGUUCGGAUCCGGGUAAUUCGGGUACGGGUAAUGGGUAUCGGGUAAUUUGCCCAGGCCUAGCCAUGCACAGCUAUCAACUACACUGAGGGAUGCAAUUCUUGGCAGACAUUUUGAAGAGCCGUUUAAAUGAAUGUUUUGACAACUUCCCUAAAGAUCUCCAAGUCAUGAUUAAGGACUUAGACAAAAUGUAACUUAGAUGGUUAAGGACUUAUGCAAAAGUGUUUUCAGAUUGUAUGCUCAAAUAUAAUUAU
rnacentral:lncRNA from 1 species